rnacentral:rRNA from 1 species
UACAGAGGUCUCAAGCGUUGUUCGGAUUCAUUGGGCGUAAAGGGUGCGUAGGUGGCGCCAUAAGUCAGGUGUGAAAUCUCGGGGCUCAACCUCGAAACUGCACUUGAUACUGUGGUGCUUGAGUACUGGAGAGGAGAUUGGAAUUUACGGUGUAGCGGUGAAAUGCGUAGAUAUCUGGAGGAAUACCGGUGGCGAAGGCGGCAUCCUGGACCGGCAUUGACGCUGAUGAGCGAAAGCUAGGGGAGCAAACGGG